GACGAACCGUGCGAACGUUGUUCGGAAUCACUGGGCUUAAAGGGCGCGUAGGCGGCUCAUGAAGGCUGUGGUGAAAGUCCGGGGCUCAACCUCGGAUCGGCCGUGGCGACUCGUGGGCUGGAGCACUGUAGAGGCGGGUGGAAUUCCGGGUGUAGCGGUGGAAUGCGUAGGGAUCCGGAAGAACACCAGUGGCGAAGGCGGCCCGCUGGGCAGUGGCUGACGCUGAGGCGCGACAGCGUGGGGAGCAAACAGG
rnacentral:rRNA from 1 species